GACGAACGCUGGCGGCGUGCCUAAUACAUGCAAGUCGAACGAGUGGCGGACGGGUGAGUAAUGUCUGGGAAACUGCCCGAGGGAGGGGGAUAACUACUGGAAACGGUAGCUAAUACCGCAUACCAUCGGAUGUGCCCAGAUGGGAUUAGCGAGUAGGUGGGGGAACGGCUCACCUAGGCGACGAUCCCUAGCUGGUCUGAGAGGAUGACCAGCAACACUGGAACUGAGCCACGGUCCAGACUCCUACGGGAGGCAGCAGUGGGGAAUAUUGCACAAGUGGCGCAAGCCUGAUACAGCCAUGCCGCGUGUAUGAAGAAGGCCUUCGGGUUGUAAAGUACUUUCAGCGAGGAGGCGUUACUCGCAGAAGAAGCACCGGCUAACUCCGUGCCAGCAGCCGCGGUAAUUC
rnacentral:rRNA from 1 species